rnacentral:rRNA from 1 species
UACGUAGGUGGCAAGCGUUAUCCGGAUUUACUGGGUGUAAAGGGCGUGUAGGCGGGAGUGCAAGUCAGAUGUGAAAACCACGGGCUCAACCCGUGGCCUGCAUUUGAAACUGUACUUCUUGAGUACUGGAGAGGCAGACGGAAUUCCUAGUGUAGCGGUGAAAUGCGUAGAUAUUAGGAGGAACACCAGUGGCGAAGGCGGUCUGCUGGACAGCAACUGACGCUGAGGCGCGAAAGCGUGGGGAGCAAACAGG